CCUACGGGGAGCAGCAGUGGGGAAUAUUGGACAAUGGGCGAAAGCCUGAUCCAGCCAUGCCGCGUGUGUGAAGAAGGCCUUCGGGUUGUAAAGCACUUUCAGUGGGGAAGAAAGCCUUGGGGCUAAUACCCUCGAGGAAGGACAUCACCCACAGAAGAAGCACCGGCUAACUCCGUGCCAGCAGCCGCGGUAAUACGGAGGGUGCGAGCGUUAAUCGGAAUUACUGGGCGUAAAGCGCGCGUAGGCGGUCUGAUAAGCCGGUUGUGAAAGCCCCGGGCUCAACCUGGGAACGGCAUCCGGAACUGUCAGGCUAGAGUGCAGGAGAGGAAGGUAGAAGUCCCGGUGUAGCGGUGAAAUGCGUAGAGAUCGGGAGGAAUACCAGUGGCGAAGGCGGCCUUCUGGACUGACACUGACGCUGAGGUGCGAAAGCGUGGGUAGCAAACAGGAUUAGAUACCCGUGUAGUC
rnacentral:rRNA from 1 species